rnacentral:rRNA from 1 species
GACGAACGCUGGCGGCGUGCUUAACACAUGCAAGUCGAGCGGUAAGGCCCUUUCGGGGUACGACGAGCGGCGAACGGGUAGGAGUAACAACGUGGGUGGACCUCGCCCUCCAGCUCUGGGAGUAAGACCUCGGGAAACCGGGGUACCGUAAUAACCGGACGUAUGACUCCACUGACGCAUGUUGUGGGGUGGGAAAGACCUUGUGCGGCUGAGGAGUGGGCCCGGCCGGCCUACUCAGCUUGUUGGUGGGGUGGAUGGCCUACCAAGGCGACGAC